CGGAGGGGCGUAGCGUUGUUCGGAAUUACUGGGCGUAAAGCGCACGUAGGCGGACCAGAAAGUUGGGGGUGAAUCCCGGGGCUCAACCUCGGAACUGCCUUCAAAACUAUUGGUCUGGAGUUCGAGAGAGGUGAGUGGAAUUCCGAGUGUAGAGGUGAAAUUCGUAGAUAUUCGGAGGAACACCAGUGGCGAAGGCGGCUCACUGGCUCGAUACUGACGCUGAGGUGCGAAAGCGUGGGGAGCAAACAGGAUU
rnacentral:rRNA from 1 species